AGGCCGUCGAAGAAGGACGCCGACUUGUGUGGAGAUGACGGCGAGUUGUCACCGAGCUCUGCGAACUCUUCGCUCUUCUUCUGGCCACCGUUUGGGUUCCCGUGGCCAUUUGCACCACCACCGUCCUUCCCAUGGCCAUUUGCGCCUCCUCCACCGUCGUUACCAUGGCCAUUUGUGUCUCCUCCGCCGUCCUUCCCAUGGCCAUUUGCGCCUCCUCCGCCGUCCUUUCCCUUCCCCUUCCCCCCAGCAGUACCGAACCCACCGGCGCCGCUGCUCCCGCCCUUGUUCCCUUCGCCGCCGCUGCUCCCGCCCUUGUUCCCUUCGCCGCCGCCUCCGUCUUUCCCGCCCUUUCCCCCGUUCGCUCCAUUUCCACCGGUGUUCACGCCACCCUCACCGCCUCCUCCCCCACCUUACCUAUUCCCACCCUUUCCUCCCUUUACUCCUAUUCCGCCCUUGUUUUCGCCACCGCCUUCUCCUCCUUCACCUCCUCCAUCAUUCCCCUGCCCGUUCCCACCCUUCCCUCCCUUUACCCCAACUCCACCUGUAGUUACACCACGUCCACCGCCACCUCCAUCAUUCCCCUUCCCACCCUUCCCUCCAUUUACCCCCACUCCACCUGUAGUUACCCCACCUCCACCGCCGCCUCCAUCNNNNNNNNNNNNNNNNNNNNGCACCGCCGCCUCCAUCAUUCUCCUUCCCACCCUUCCCUCCCUUUACUCCCACUCCACCUGUAGUUACCCCACCUCCACCGCCGCCUCCAUCAUUCCCCUUCCCGUUCCCACCCUUCCCUCCGUCUCCUCCCAAUCCACCUGUAGUUACACCGCCGCCUCCAUCGACCCCUUUCCCGUUCCCGCCUUUCCCUCCCUUUACUCCAACUCCAC
rnacentral:lncRNA from 1 species